CCUUGUUCUGCCUCCUGGGCUGUGCCCCUCCCCACAGGGGCCUCGCCAGGGCCAUGCCCGGCAUGGUGGGGAGGGGGCUAGCACCUCACAUCAGGGCAGGGCCAGUGUCCAUUGUGAGGUAAGGCGAUGAAGAUGAUGAUGCCCUCAGAAGUUGGCAAAGAGGCUGACACAGGCCAAAAGGGGUGCCAGGGGUGCAGGACGGGAGGUGGGUGUGAGGCACAGGUAACCUUGACCUUGAGGAAGGGGCAGUGGUGGCCGUGAACCUGCGAAUCCACGGAGAAGAAUCAGGACCUCCCUCUGCCAUGGGCAGGGGUACUGAUUGGCUUCAAAAACUCCUGGACAGCAGAUCGUGAGCGAUGGUUUUGGGUGCAGUCCCUCCCUCAGAACACCCUCCUCGACCCUGACAGGCCCGGCUUCCUCUGGGCACUGAGGAAACACCCGAUGGACUGAGUGUGGUGGGCUUGGCAGAAAUACCAUGACGUGGAAAGUCUUCUGAUCAUUCUCAUUUUCCAGAAGAGGAAACUGAGGCACAGAGAGAGUGCAAGGGACACGUUGGUAAGGGACACAGCUGGGACCUGGGCCCAGGCAGGAUGGGUGUGGGGCUGCCUCUGUACCAGCGGAGCAUGCAAGGUCUGAGUUUGAGUUAAUGCUCACUAUUUAGUAAUCGUUACUUCAGACGAUAAUACAGUGAUGUUCUAUGUUACAUAAUAAAAGUAAGAGCUUACACUGUGGA
rnacentral:lncRNA from 1 species